rnacentral:rRNA from 1 species
UACAGAGGUUUCAAGCGUUGUUCGGAUUCAUUGGGCGUAAAGGGUGCGUAGGCGGCGCGGUAAGUCGGGUGUGAAAUCUCGGAGCUUAACUCCGAAACUGCAUUCGAUACUGCCGUGCUUGAGGACUGGAGAGGAGACUGGAAUUUACGGUGUAGCGGUGAAAUGCGUAGAUAUCGUAAGGAAGACCAGUGGCGAAGGCGGGUCUCUGGACAGUUCCUGACGCUGAGGCACGAAAGCUAGGGGAGCAAACAGG